rnacentral:lncRNA from 1 species
CUUUCCACCAAUUUUCACUUGAGUCCCCAACAUUUUUUUUUUUUGCAAUUGAGUUCCUAACCUCUUAAUUUUAUUACAAUUAGGUCCCAACCGUUGAAAAAAUGGUUAAAAUUAACGGAAUCGCUACGUCAGCGUCUAUGUGGCAAUCUUUUGCAUGUCAAUUUAGGUCCAUAAACUUUGCACAUUUUUCAUUUUAGUCCCUAAAAAAAUUCAAAAUU